rnacentral:rRNA from 1 species
GACGAACGCUGGCGGCGUGCCUAAUACAUGCAAGUAGAACGCAGUUGCGAACGGGUGAGUAACGCGUAGGUAACCUGCCUCAUAGCGGGGGAUAACUAUUGGAAACGAUAGCUAAUACCGCAUACUGUGAGAUGGACCUGCGUUGUAUUAGCUAGUUGGUGAGGUAAAGGCUCACCAAGGCGACGAUACAUAGCCGACCUGAGAGGGUGAUCGGCCACACUGGGACUGAGACACGGCCCAGACUCCUACGGGAGGCAGCAGUGGGGAAUAUUGCGCAAUGGGGGCAACCCUGACGCAGCCAUGCCGCGUGAAUGAAGAAGGCCUUCGGGUUGUAAAGUUCUUUCGGUAGCGAGGCGUUAACUACAGAAGAAGCACCGGCUAACUCCGUGCCAGCAGCCGCGGUAAUUC